AUUUUUACUAGUGGGACCAUACGAGAAACAUUUUGCUUACACAGGUUGUUGAUGCCAGUGUUAUGUCACGGUUUGCCACUACUGGCACUUGUUUCAGCCACUCCUGGGCCCUGGAAGACCCCAGUUCAGAAAUGCAGUGACUACAAUCCCCAGCUACCUGAGGCUCACCUCAGUAUGACUUGCUCUUUAAGAAACUGGAUUACCUAGAACUAAGAAUAAUAUCUGAAGGCAGAGUUUCUUUACCUCAAGAAAAGCAUCAAAAAUGCAGUUGAAUUACCCCAUCCAUUAACCAUAGGAAAAAAGAAAAGAUGCGAGACAUAAAAACCAUGAAUAUGUGAGGAAAUAUGUCAGGAGAUACACAUGGAUAACAUGUUUGUACCUCUAUUUAACUCUACUUGUUGAAAAAUACAAACAUUUAUAUUGAAUGUCUGAAAUUUAAUCUUUGUAUGAUGCAAGUUUGCCCUAGUUAAAAAGAUAGGGUAUAUGAUGAUGUGCAAAAGGCAGCAGGAUUGCUGCCUGCAUUUUUUCCCAUGAAAAUAGCAGAUAGGACAUCAAUUUACCUUAUAAAAUGAUUCAUUAGUUGGGAUGAAGUUCAGUUAAAUUCUAUGAAAACUUAGAUAAUGAAUACUGGGCCAUACUAAACUCCAGCAGAUAGAGAUUUCCCUAGAAUCACAAUAUAAAAGAGGGAAAUC